AUUACAGUUCCAUUGAAGAAUGGGUUGGAACUGUAAGCUGUCUGCUGCCUAAUCUCACUCCAGGACAGUAUUACAUUUGUUUGUAGCACAAUCAUUAUUCUAGGGUCAGACCACUUCCAUGUCUCUAAAAUGGAUUGUAUCUGCACAUUCCAGUCAACCAUUUCCUUCUAAACGCAAGAGCAGAUACUUAAAGUGAUCUCGUAUAAGGUGAAAAAUUAUCAUUGUAAUAACGCACGUAGUACAAUACUCUCAACAUCUUCAUUGCACUGUGUUCUGCUCUGAUCAUGUGUAGUGACAAAUGUCUGUUUUUGCAUGUUGUCAGUUGAAAUUGGAAUAGUUGGAAUUUACUGGGGCUAAAGUCACUUUGUGUUUGCUCCUCUGUUUUCAGUUGACACUUGGCACUAAUUACUUGUGUGCACGUUAAUGGAUAGAUUGAUUCCCUUUAUUUCACAUCUUCAGCCUCAGUUUAUUUUGAAAGUAUCCCUCAAAAGUCUGUAGGAAAAAUCUAUAUAAAGACCUCCUUAUCUCCUUUGCUCUGUUUAGCUGCCUGCACAGGCCUACGGCCCUAGCAGAGAUUUGGAUAUAAUGACGAGAUGGUUGUGUCUCCACACUAACAAUGGGUUUCGUUGACCACAGAGCGGAAUGGUGGGCUGUCAAGCUCCCGCCUAUUCCUUUCUUUGGAUUGGCAACCUCUUUUCCCUUUAUGGAACGGCGGCAGUUUUGAAGAGGUUGAAAAUGUUUUUUCACUCCUGCACUUUGAAGUUGACCAAGUGUAACUCUUCUGCUUUUUGAGUAUAGUUAACUCACAGUUUUGUAUUUAAUGUUUAUAAUUGAGUUCAGGCUAAUGGAAAAAAUGUAGAUCAUCUGUUUCCUGAAAUGUUUUAAGUAAACUUAGUUAUAUUUGAGUAAUGGUGAGCUUUGCUAAACUCAAACAUUUCAAGUAUUGCAACUAUAUACUGACAGUAAGUGACUGACUUAAAAAGAUUGUUCGUAUUUUAACUAGUGAUUUUUAUGGAG
rnacentral:lncRNA from 13 species